AAGUCCGCCUGCAAAAGUGGAAGGUCGCGGACCUCGCAGGGGUUCAAAUUAGCGGUGGUCCGAGGUCCGCGACCUUCCACUUUUGG
rnacentral:sRNA from 1 species